GAGCCCCCCCCAGAAGAACUGGUCACAGUCCAGGGGCUGGCAUAAGGGGGCCAAACUACAUUGCCUGCAUUUCCCUAUGCCAGUGUUGAAUUCAGCCCCUCUCUUUAGAACCAGGUGCUUCCAAUAGCUUCCCUGACCUGAGCAGGUGGUUGGGGGAUGCUGUGAAGAGGCCUUUUACCGGUAGGUCAUUGGCUGAAAUCUGCCUCAGACUGACAAGCCCCAGUGCUCUCAGAUGUUAUGCGGAUGCUCAUGUACCUCCAGAUUUCUGUGCUGAUGGCGCAGAACUGUGCUCUGGAGCCUGAUUCAUUGAAAAACAUCCCUGAAAUCUCUAGUCCUCAAGCUUGCAAAGAAACUUUUCUUAGAGGGAACUGCUGGUGCCAGGGCCGUCAACUGCCCUGUUCAUCCUUAUGGGAUGUUAACACUGAACCCUAAUGAUAUUGACUGUGAAGGUCACAGUCACUGUUUCACUGCUGUCAGCAGAAACCCCUCCAACUCCCUUCCCCUUCACCAGGCUGCCUCUGCUGGGCUGAUAGGGAGGGGAUUGCCCUUCCAGCUCCCUCCCCCAUGGCCAGGCUGGCUGUGUGGCAUUAGCAAGAGGGUAAGAAGCAGCAACUGACUUUUGUCCCUGAAGUCGGCAAGGAAAUGCAACGUCUCUGCCUCGCUCUCCCUGCACAAGGGCAGGAAGGUCCAUGCCCAGUGGUGUUCGCUGGCGGCUGGGCAGCGCUUUGCAGAGGGCGAUGUUCAUGCCGAGCAUGUGGCGGGGUGGAAAGGGCGAGCGGGGGAGAGAUGCCCAGCUGAAGAGCAAGGAGAAUUGCUCUAAGCCCCAGGUGGCUCUGGAGUGAUGGAGGGAGAAGGAUUCUGGGUCCUAGUGUAUGGAAGUAACUCCCCUCCCCCACCCGCAGUGCUGGACUCAGGGCUACCUAGCAAGACCGUUUCAUGCCCCUCCCACAGCGUCGUCCCACCUCCACCACUCCCCAUUCCCAGGUGGUGGUUUGUGUGCUCAAGGUGCUCCUUUGUGCUCACGAAGUGCGCCAAAGACUGGUGUGUAGCUCUGCCCUCAGUGCCUCCCCCAUAGGGACAGGCCCUUGCCCCUUGUGUGCAACACUCACUUUGCGCUGUUGUAAAUGACUGCACAAGGGACCAGGUGGCAGGGAAUCGGGAUCAAUGAAUCCAGCCUGGCCUACGCACCCGCUGUAGCAGAUUAACUAAGGGCUGGGAAGCUAAUUGACUUCAACAGGUGCAGAUCCCUGCCUGGACACUCUGGAUUCAGUCCAGCCUGGCUCAUGUCCGUUUAGUGUCACUUGAUUCCUAGCAGCACUAGUUCACUCGGGGUUCGGGGUAAAUCGUAUUCAUUGCAUCCACAUGGGGCUGCGUUGCUGUGAUGAAAACAAUUUACAACGUAACUUUAGCUGGGAGGCAAACGUUUCUGUGCAGCCCCGUCCCCUGCCAGCCCACAGCCUAGCAUGGCCAUGGUCCUGCUUGAGUGCAGCCCCCUUCCUGCGUGCUUAGAACUUGUGGAGAAGCCUCCUCCAAAGGGUGAAUUGUG